AAGAAACCGAAGAAGCGCUGCCGUUAGGGUUUGCUGAGAGAGUUGGAGAGAGGGGGAAGAUAGUGGAGGGGUGGGCCCCGCAGACCAAGAUUUUGGCGCAUGAGAAUGUUUGCGGUUUCAUUAGUCAUUGUGGGAUGAGUUCUACGAUGGAGAGCUUGUAUUUCGGGGUGCCGGUGAUCGGCGUUCCGAUCAAGCUCGAUCAGCCGUUGAAUUCGAGGCUGCUGACAGAGGCCGGUCUUUGUGUCGAGGUGGCGAGAGACGAGAACGGAGAUUUUCGAGGAGAUGAUGUGGCGGCGGCGAUCGGAAGAGUUGUGGAGAGUGGGGAGGGGAUGAGGGCUGGGGCGGCGGAGAUCAGGGAGGCGAUGAGGGCGGAGGAAGCGUGCGCGGUCGGUGAGGCAGCGGAGCAUCUCAGGCGAAUUUGUGUCGAGAGCGUAUGAUCUAGUUGGUGGAGUGACGAUUUUAUAAUCUUAUGAAAAUCAAGAGAAUUUAGUGUUUAUUGAUUUAAUUGUAAAUUGAUUAAUACCUAAAAUCACAAAUUUUAAAUUUGAAUUCAUCGUCAUGUAAUUUUUUUAGAAUAUUUAUUUCUACCAGAAACACUUGGAACAAUGAUAAUUGCAUCGUGUAGAAAAGCUUAUUGUUGGUGUUUAUAAUCUGCAACUGUAUUACUUCAAAGAAAAUGAAGAGAUAUCGCCAUAGAUUAAUUAUGAGAUUCUCUAAAGAAAUGCAACAAUAAUCAUGUCUAGUGUCGGAGACUCAGUCACAUUCAAACACUAGUAAAAUUAUAAAUAUACUAGUAUUAAAUAUUAGUCAUAUAUAAAAUCCUGGAACAAGUACGUUCGAUUAUUCAUGUGUUCCAAUAUUCUUCGUGUCCCACUUGAAUCUAUUAUACGUAUCGUUUUAAUAAUACAUUUGUUUGUAUAUAUAUAUAAUAUGGCCUUAUUUAAGAUUUAUUAAUGUCAAAAGGAGAUUUAUUAAUUAAUUAAAACUAAACACUUGUGCGCCGGCGGCCGGCCGGCCACCUCUUUUAUUUAUAUAAGGGCAUGGGGCCCAGCCGCAUGGUGCGCCGGCCACCUCUUCAUUUAUUAGGUUUAUUUUAGAUAUCUUUAUUUAUUUUAUUUAUUUUUUGAAAUACAAGACAUGUAUAUUUGAUAUAAUAUUCAAUAAAAAAAAUAUUUUAUAUAAUAAAAGAAAAUUCUAGAAUCAAUGAUCAAAUAUCCAAACUAAAUAAGAGAAAUUUUGGUGUCUCAACAUUGCCCUUUUUUCUUCUCUUGAUUCUUUGUUAGGAGUAAUACAGUAUUUUAGCACAAAUUUUGCUCGAAAUCCAUUUUUUGUAUAAUCUUUAAAAAAAAUUAUUUUUUAUCACAAGUUUUGAUAUUUGUUCAAUUUUCUCACAAUUUUUAUUUUCCCUUAAAUCGGAAUCGACGUGGCACUGAUGUGGCUAGCUAGCUGGCACACACCAUACUUGUUGCUUUCCGGUGUAUUAAACGCAACGUUUCAUAAAAAAAUGAUUUUUUUAAACAUUAUGGGAAAAAUGGAUUUCGGACAAUAUUCUUGAUAUUACAUGCAAUUAACUCAAGAAAAAAACACAAAUAUUUUUUUGCAAAGUCUGCAACUUCCUCCCAUUCCAAAUUUUUAAAGAAUAUCAAACUCUGAAAUACUACAUUUUUCCCAACCUAAAAUGAUGUCAAAUAGGUGGAGAAAUGUUACAGCACACUGAAAUUAGGCAUAAUAUAGGAACUCAUAUGUUACAAUUAAAACUAGAAAUUCAUCUUAAACAUCUGCAGCUUCUUGUCUGCUGUUUCUUCAAACAAAUUAAAGCUACUCGCCUCUACUUGACCCAUAAUUUGUUCAUCUUCCCUCUUCAACAAUUUACUCAAUCCAUUAUAGAUGAUCAUUUAAGGCCACAUUAAUUAACGUUUAUUCAAGAAUCAAGAAUAUUGAAUUUUCUUUAUAAACAAUGCUGCUUGAGAUAAUCAAAACAGAACACUGGAAUCACAUUCUCCAAGAGUUUUAUUCUUCACCAUUUAAUGAGCAUAAGGUAUAUAUUGAAAAGUGAUCAAAUAAAUUUUGUUAAGUGAGUAAUUAUAAAGUGACAAAUCAGGAUCUUUAUUAUGUGAUGAGGAAUCGUACGUCAUGGACAUAUAUAACUGACAAAUGCAACAAACAAAUGGCAAGAAAAUUAACAUGUAGAGUUCGAGGGUUUUUUAGGACAGUAACUUAGAUUGAUUUGAAAAUUAGGACAAUAUCUUUCGAACUUGUAAAAAUAGAACACUAAUUUUUUUUAAAAAUAAAAUAGGACACUAAUUUUACGACGCUUAUUAUCGGCCGAGAAAUGUCCUAUUUUUACGACGCUUAUUAAUUAAUGUCCUAUAUAUUUUACUCUAAAAAAAUUAGUGUCCUAUUUUCACAAGUCCGAAAGUUUUUGUCCUAAUUUCCAAAUCAACAUAAGUUAUUGUCCUAAAAAAUCCCUUGACUCAACAUGUUAUGAUAAAGAAAUAGAGAAAAUGGCCCUCAUUGAUUAAAGAAGAAUUCAAAGUUUAUUUUGUUAUGUCAUCUGAAUCUCAUGCCUUGAUUAAAAAACAUUAAUUAAGAUAUGCAAUCUAAAAUAGAACUUCUUUAUUUUGUCUCAUUCAAUCAUUAAAGAAAUGUGUGAAGACUUCAUAUAUAGUUCAUCAAUAGACCUAUAUUCAUACCUCCCAGUGUGCGUGUGUGUGUGUGUGUGAGAGAGAGAGUGUGUGUUUUGAUCGAUGGAGGCAAAGCAAGCAAGUCUGUCGAUCCUAAUGUUCCCAUGGGUAGCCCAUGGCCAUGUCUUCCCCUACCUCGAGCUAGCCAACCACCUCUCGAAGCUAAACUUCACCAUCUUUCUCUGCUCCACUCCCAUCAUCCUCCAAUCCCUCCCCGACCACGGCGACAUCCCGAUCACCCUCGUCCCCCUCCACCUCCCCUCCCCGCCGGAGCUUCCGCCGGAGCUCCACACCACCAAGCACGCGCCGCCCCACCUCAUGCCGCGCCUCCACGAGGCCUUCCACGCCUCCAAAGCCGCCUUCUCCGCCAUCAUCGCCUCCCUCAGCCCCAGCAUGCUCAUCUACGACUGCUUCCAGGCCUGGGCCGCCGAAGCCGCCGCCGCCCUGAACAUCCCCGCCGUCCACUUCGCCACCACCGGCGCCGCCGCCUACUCCUUCUACUACCACCACCUCACCAGGAAGGGCUCCCCCUUCCCCCACGACGCGAUGUACCUCCACCGCCACGAGUUGGCGGCGCGGCGGGUCACCACCUCCGAUUUCGACGUGGAGAACUUAGACAACGGGCUUCCCUCCUUCAACCGCUCCCGCGACGUCGUUUUGAUGAAGACAUCGCCAGCCAUCGAAGGGAAAUACAUGGAUUACCUUUCUCAAUUGUGUAACAAGAAAAUACUCGCCCUGGGCCCACUUAUUACAACCGCCUCCGACAACGGUGGACAUGGUAAACGAAAACUGAAAAGUCAUACUUAUCUAUUUUUUUAUGAGGUGGUCUUGCGUACAAUCAAUCGGGUGCACUAUAUAAUUAGAUUACAUCCACACCUAAAUCUUAAUUCGAAUUCUAAUCUGAAUUCACGUCCUAAUUUCAAAUCGUAUAAAUAACAUUAUUAUGAAUGCAGUGCAAGAUACAUCCCAUUAUACUCGAAUUUUCGUGUUUUUUUUAUAUAUUCACGAAGAAUGUCGCAUUUCACUUAUUUAAGUAUCACAUCAUUUUUCACUCUAACCAUAAUUUGUACUUUUAUUUUAUCUUUUAACUAAUAAUAUAUUAUUAUUCUAUUUUUUAAUUUUUUUAUUUAUGUUUUUGAUCUUCUAUUUUUAUAUUUACUCGUACAUUCUAAAAUUGUGAAAUUCGACUGAUUAUAAAAUAUUUGAUAUGCAUAUCAAAUUAAAGAUCACGACAACAACUUUAAUUUAAUAUAUUUUAUGUAAGUAUUGGCUUGAAAAUGUGAAAGUUAUUUUUUUAAGAUUAAAAAUUAAAAUAAAAAUUAUUUUGCAUCUUUUGUUUAAUAAGUUCAUUUUUUAAUUAUUUUUUAUUUUUAUUUUUAUUUUUAUUUUUCUAUCCUUUUUCUUUUAACUUACUUUUUUGCUUUUUCAUAAUAUCAGUUUUGUUAUUAUUGUGGAUUUCUUUAUUUAUUUUUCCAUAUUAACUAAAAUUAUAUUUUUUUUCUAUGAUAGUUGAAUUAAUAAUUUAUUAUAUACAUAUAUAUAUAAGAUAUAAAAUUAAUUUCCGUGCAUAAAGCACAAAUUAAAUCAUAAGAAUUAAAAUUUUUCUUUACAAAUCUCAAGUUCAUAAAAUAUAGCCUUUAUAGAACUUCGACAUUGAUGCAGAUUCAGACAUAAUGGAUUGGUUAAGCAAGAAAGAGAGAUUCUCGACCAUUUUCAUCUCAUUUGGAAGCGAGAACUACUUGUCCAAGAAUCAAAUGCGAGAAAUGGCGAAAGGUCUAGAAGCUUCGAAAGCCAACUUCAUAUGGGUGGUGAGGUUUCCUCGAGGAGAGAGAGAUGAAGAAACCAAUGAAGCGCUGCCACUAGGGUUUGGUGAGAGAGUUGGAGAGAGAGGGAAGAUAGUGGAGGGGUGGGGCCCGCAGACCAAGAUUUUGGCGCAUGAGAAUGUUUGUGGUUUCAUUAGUCAUUGCGGGAUGAGUUCUACGAUCGAGAGCUUGUAUUUUGGGGUGCCGGUGAUCGGCGUUCCGAUCAAGAUCGAUCAGCCGUUGAAUUCGAGGCUGCUGAUGGAGG
rnacentral:lncRNA from 1 species